GGACGCCUAGCUCAGUUGGUUAGAGCAUCUCGUUUACACCGAGGGGGUCGGGGGUUCGAAUCCCUCGGCGUCCACCA
rnacentral:tRNA from 1 species